CCUGCCCCCACCCCGCUCCCAGGCGGGGCAGCCAGGCGGAACGGAGCACCCGGCACCUCGCUCCGCCGCCGUGGCGGCCGCCGCUCGCACUGUGACGUUAGCAGCCUUCGCGGCUAUUUAUAUCCACACGAUUGGAUUUCAUUCAUGAAACCGGGGCCUGGUGUGUCUGUGCUCUGGGACACGGGUGGCAAAGGUUCCUCGGCUCUACGCAGACCCGACGGGCCCGGGCACGGAGGCGGAUCGCCCGGGACAAACCGACACAGAGCAUGGGAGACCCCGGCCCUUUCCCCGCGCUGCCGGGAGGGGAGAGUCUGGGCCAUCUGUGUCCCCGUACCCCUGCCCCAACAUCCCACCCACUCCCGUGCCUUUGCUGGCCCUUUGUCCCAGGCUCUGGAAAAGCUGACCGUGAGUUCUGAGGACAGAACCAGGGGUAGUUUUCAUGCAUUCACAUAAAUGCUUAUAGAGUGACAAGAUGCCAGGUGCCUGGCCAAGCUCUACGGAGGUGACAGUGAAAGCAAACAACCGGGUGCCUGCCAUCAGGGAGCUUUCAGUCAGCCUGCUAAAAUUAGUAUGCCUUAUGAAACCCAUCACUCCUAGCCUGUAAAGAGAUCACUGGGGAAUAAAGACACAACUGUGUUCAGCUACCGAGAGGAAUGAAUAUAUUCAUUUAAUAAACCUUUAUUGAGUAGGCUGUGUGCAGAGAGCUAGGGAUACAAAGAUGGAAACAAUGUCAUUCUUGGCCUCACCGGUUCUCAGGUAAUGUGUUCCUAAGAUACUGAAGGACUGGGAAAAGAGAGUCCAUCCUAUUAUAAGGGAUGCUUCUUUGGCUUAUCCCCCCAAAAACAGGAUGCGUGAAAAAAUUCUAAAAGCAAACACACUUCUUGGUCCCUCAGUUUCUUCCAGGAAACCGUCUUCAGUUUCCUGAUGAAUUACCCUCCAGCCAAGAUUCCCAGGUGACUUCCAGUCCAGUGGAUAUUUCUACUCUUCCUCACUUGCUUGUAUUCUCUUGAAGUCAAAGGCUUGCCUGGUGCUCUCUAAAUCCCCCAGAGACCCCAGAAAAUAGUGGAAUCCAAUGUUUUUACGAGGAAAGUUAUCACCGGCAACCUCAUUUGUUUAAGCCAUUCCCACGGCAGUAUUUUUGAAAAUGGAGUUACCAAGGCCCUAGUCUUUGAUAUCAGAAAGAGAGGGUAGUGAAAAGUCAAGUACAGGUGUCUACUCCAAGAACACAUCCAAGAGGUGGGUGAUCAUUUACUUGGCAUAAAACUGACUUCCCGGCCCAGGCGGGUGGCUCACGCCUGUAAUCCUAGCGCUUUGGGAGGCCGAGGCGCGCGGAUCACGAGGUCAGGAGUUCGAAACCAGCCUGGCCAACAUGGUAAAACCCCGUCUCUAUUAAA
rnacentral:lncRNA from 10 species